rnacentral:rRNA from 1 species
UACAGAGGUCCCAAGCGUUGUUCGGAUUCACUGGGCGUAAAGGGUGCGCAGGUGGGUUGGCAAGUUCGAUGUGAAAGCCCCGGGCUUAACCCGGGAAUGGCAUUGGAAACUGCUGAUCUGGAGGAUCGGAGGGGGGACUGGAAUUCUUGGUGUAGCAGUGAAAUGCGUAGAUAUCAAGAGGAACACCAGUGGCGAAGGCGAGUCCCUGGACGAUACCUGACGCUGAGGAGCGAAAGCGUGGGGAGCAAACAGG